rnacentral:rRNA from 1 species
UAAUAGUGUAUAUUAAAGUUGUUGCAGUUAAAAAGCUCGUAGUUGAAUGUUGGUGUCGAACGAGCGGUCAGCUUCGGCUGUACUGCUCUCCCAACUCCUUCCUUCUGUGGACUACGUCGCACUUUACUGUGUGGCGCUAGGACGCAGAUCGUUUACUGUGAAAAAAUUAGAGUGUUCAAAGCAGGCCGUACGCUUGAAUACAUUAGCAUGGAAUAAUGGAAUAGGACGUCGGGCCUAUUUUGUUGGUUCUAGGACCGUCGUAAUGAUUAAUAGGGACAGUUGGGGCCGUUUAUAUUCCGUAGUCAGAGGUGAAAUUCUUGGAUUUACGGAAGAUAAACUACUGCGAAAGCAUUCGGCAAGGAUGUUUUCGUUAA